UAUAGGAGUUCGACUCUCACAAGAGCCCGGUCAGAAUCUUGAAGGUUGUCGAUCGCUGUAGAAACUCGGAUGGAGUCCGAUCGCUGUAGAAACCUCAUUGUCGAAGAAGCUCGAUAUCGACGGAGUCCGAAAGGAGUUUGGAGAAUAGUUGGUCACUGUAGAAGGUCGGCUAACAGUGAGGCCUAUAGAGCCUUUGGAGUGGCACGGU
rnacentral:lncRNA from 1 species